UUUUCUUUUGACUGGAAGGGUCGAACACCCCUGUCUUCCGCCCCCCCUCCCCCAGGUACACAGGCGCAAAGAUGCUCAGCGCACACUCUGCCCUCCCUUUCUUCUCUCUGUUGAGACGCAUGCUGAUGCUCUCGGUAGCGUGUGCGUGCAUAUGUGUGCGGAUAACUGUUUGCUUCGUGACUUUACUGUUAUUAGUUUGCGGACGAACAAGCAUCUCUCCGCAAUUUCUCUCUUGGUUCUCCACUUCGAAUGCCUGCUGCUGGCUGUUUUGAACCCAUUUUUUCUUUCAGCGGUGGCUGAUGCCGCAGCGACCAUGCGAAAGAGAGUCAGGGAUGCGAGAGGGAGGGAAAGAGGGAAGUGCGCACAAGCUUGCACGUACACAAAAGGAAGUCACACACACAAAAAAAAAACGCGGCGAAGAUGCCGAGCGAAGUAAGCACCAUGCCAGCAUUUGUGGUGACGCGCUUUUUUGUAUGCUAUGCUGUUGCUUUACGGCCCUCAGCGCUAGCCCUUUCAUCGCUCUCUUGCUUUCUUCUUGCGACAUAGCAUCCUUGCUUCUCAGUCCAGGUAGCUGCCCCUUCCUUCGUUGAUGGGGCUGUAUAAUGUACGUUUUGUUUUCGAGUGGCCUUCCUUGACCUCUCCCCCUUCCUUCAAUGGGCAGCCUUAAGCGUAAGGAUAAAGGGAGCGGAGUGCUUGAUUCUUCAUCUUUUUUUUUCCUUUGGGUAUUCGAACUUGUCGCAUCCUUCUUUUUUCCUUUCGUGCGCCUGUAGAAAGUGAAGCAGUGCAGAAGAGAACAGAACACAUACACACGUACAUACACACAAAAAGAAUACUCAGCAAGUCAAAGUAUCGUCACCGGCGGUGCACCUUGAGAGACCGAGGCAAGCCUCGGAAAGUAAGGAGGAAUGGACGCUGCGCAAGCUCAAAGUGCGGUUUAUGCGAGUUUCUACCCCCCCCCCC
rnacentral:misc_RNA from 1 species